GUUACCCGAUUAUCGUACCCAGGACAUUGCAUUUAUCGGUUUCAGACCCCAAAACUGUCGUACCCGCACAAAUGACGAUAUAAAAUUAAAGUUAUCGUUAAAACCGUUAAUUAGUGGUUUUAUUUACGAUGGAAGUGAGUCAGAAACCGGAGAAUACAAUAUUAUGAGUAGGAGAAUCUGGCAAACUGCACUCGCCCAGGGUUACCCGAUUAUCGUACCGAGGACAUUGCAUUUAUCGGUUUCAGACCCCAAAACUGUCGUAUCCGCACAAAUGACAAUAUAAAAUUAAAGUUAUCGUUAAAAUCGUUAAUUAUUGAUGUUUUAUUUGCGAUGUAUGGAGUCAGAAACCGGAGAAUACAAUAUUAUGAGUAGGAGAAUCUGGCAAACUGCACUCGCCCAGGGUUACCCGAUUAUUGUACCCAGGACGUUGCAUUUAUCGGUUUCAGACCCCAAAACUGUCGUAUCCGCACAAAUGACAAUAUAAAAUUAAAGUUAUCGUUAAAACCGUUAAUUAGUGAUGUUUUAUUUGCGAUGGAAGUGAGUUAGAAACCGGAGAAUACAAUAUUAUGAGUAUGAGAAUCUGGCAAACUGCACGCGCCCCGAAACUAAAAGGCACAACAACGCCAAUCAACAACGCCAAUCAACAACGCCAAUCUACAACGCCAAUCAACAACGCCAAUCUGCAACGCCAAUCAACAACGCCAAUCAACAACGCCAAUCAACAACGCCAAUCUGCAACGCCAAUCAACAACACCAAUCAACAACGCCAAUCAACAACGCCAAUCAACAACCAAGAAUCAAACAUAAGUCAUAAGUGGGAGCCGUUACAAAGGCAAUCCCACGCCUACAACUGGACUGGACUAGACACCGACACCGACAGAGCAACGCACACCAGAGCCAUUCCCGCGGCGAUCAGGUGUCACGCUCCUUUUAUAAGCUAAGAGCAAACAUUCUAUAAGGCGACAGGGAGAGGUACGAACGCCGGAGGGGCUUCCUUACCAUUACAUUAUGACGCGCGUGAGCUCAUACUGUCAUUAGAGCGCCCAUUACACGCCUCAUAUAUAAAGAAAGAACCCGAUCGUAAGUGGCAAGAGUGACUUCAUUCUUGAGGUGCGUAGGAAGGAGGAAGUACAGAAAAGGAAGGCAUUACCGAUACGUCUCUUCCUCCUCCUCCUCCUCCUCCUCCUCCUCCUCCUCCUCCUUCCCCAAUCUCUCCUCCCUUCUCCUCCUCCUUCCUCUCGUCAGUUCCUUUCAUCACCUGCCCCCCCUCCAAAAUUUUCUUUACCUGGCCGCACGAACCCAGGUAUUUAAUCGCAAUCUGUCACGUUAUUUACCUUCCCUCCUCCUCCUCCUCCUCCUCCUUCUCCUCCUCCUCAAUUUUCAUCAUCAUCAUCAUCUUCCUCCCCUUCCAAGCGACUUCCUCGACAGACAGGCAGACAGACAGACAGACAGACAGGCAGACGCAGACAGACGGCGACGCUGUUGAGGGACAUGAAACCAAAAACGGGGAAGCAAUAUGGAGGAGGAGAAUGAAGAGGAAGAGGAGGAGGAGACGAAGAACAAGAACAAGAACAAGAACAACAAGAGGAAAAUCGUAGAGCAGGAAGAGAAGGAGAAAAUAAUGUUAUCGUAUACACGUCCUCUUAUAGUAAAGGUUCUUAUCAUCAACGUCGGGAUCUGAGUAAAGGGUUUUAAUACGAGAGUCUUGUCUAAUCGGUUCAAGGCAGUGAUAAGGAAAACAAAACAGAAUAUGACGUAGGACGGAAGCGCUCAAUUCAAGGCUACAGACAGACACACAGGCAGACAGACAGAAAGACACAUACAGAUAGAUAGAUACAGACAGACAGACAAACAGGUAGAUACAGACAGACAGGUAGAGAGAAAGACAGACACACAGGCAGAUACAGACAAACAUACGGACAGACAGACAAACAGACAGAAAGACAUACAGAUAGAUAGAUACAGACAGACAAACAAAGACAGACAUACAGAUAGACACAGACAGACAGACACAGACAAACAGGUAGAUACAGACAGACGGACAGACAGAAAGAUAGACAUACAAGCAGAUACAGACAGACAGACAGACAGACAAACGUAGAUAGGCAUGUAGACAGGCAGAUCUGUAGAAGUAAUGAAAAGCAGACAAACACACAAACAGACAGACAAGUAGACAGAUAGACAGACAAACAGACGGACACAUGAGGAAAAUACGAGGCUGGUGAUGUUAAAGAAAAAAAAAACUGAAGAACUUAUUAAGGAAAACGUGUGUGUGUGUGUGGGGGGGGGUAAGGUAGGGAGAGGAGGAUAAAAAAAAAAAAAAGAUAAAGGGUUCGGAGAAGGAGGAGGAGGAGGAGGAGGAGGAGGAAAGGGAGGAGAAGAAGGUGGAGGUAAUGUUAGUGGUAAUAUAGAAAUGGCGAUGGCGAUAAUAAUGAUAAUGAUGAUGAUAAUGAUGGUGAUGAUGACAGUGAACGGGCGAGGGGAGGAAGGGUAGAGGGUA